rnacentral:rRNA from 1 species
CGAACGGCUGAGUAACACGUGGGCAACCUGCCCUCCUCUUGGGGAUAGCCUCGGGAAACCGAGGAUAAUACCCGAUACUUCACUUGAGCCGCAUGACUCAAGUGAGAAAGCUUUUGCGGAGAAGGAUGGGCCCGCGGCCUGUUAGCUUGUUGGUGGGGUAGAGGCCUACCAAGGCAAUGAUGGGUAGCUGGGUUGAGAGACCGACCAGCCAGAUUGGGACUGAGACACGGCCCAG